GUGUUUGCUUUGGCAGCACAUAUACUGAAAUUGGAAUGAUACAGAGAAGAUUAGCAUGGCCCCUGUGCAAGGAUGACAUGCAAAUUCGUGAAGCAUUCCAUAUUCUU
rnacentral:snRNA from 1 species